UACAACCAAGUAUAUACCCUUGACCAGAAUCAAACCUGGGACCCUUUGGUCCACAGGCUGACACUCUAUUCACUGAGCCAAACCAGCUAAAGCUUGUGCUUUGUUUUGUUUGUUGUCUUAUCAUUGACCUGUAUAAGAAUGUUCCUUUUGGUUUUUACAUUUGAGGUAAUGUAUAUUUAUUUAUUUACUAGUGGCCCGGUGCAUGAAUUCAUGCAUGGGUGGGGUUCCCAGGGGGUGGGAUUCGGCCAGGACAUGACUGACCCUCCUGGUGGGUGGUGGGAUGCCCUUGCCGGCCCUGGAUCCAGAGCCAUCCCACUGACAUUGGUGCUGGUUGUUGGGAGCUACCUAGCAGCUGGCCACUUUUAUAUUGUUUCUGCAUUGUGGAGCGGAGUGUCUACGGAGGGGAAGUGGCCACGAUGACUGAGGCAGACUUCUAGGAAGCCAGCAGUGCUGUCGGGAUCAUGCCAGCAGUGCUGGUCCAUCGGUGCCUGGCCUGUUCUCCAGAGAUUGGACCUGUAGGACUACUGAGAGAAGAGAGUGAAAGAGAGAGGGAAAGACAGAGAGAAAUAUCGAUGUGAGAGAAACAUCAAUUGGUAGCCGCUUGCACCGACCCUGACCAAGGUCGGGGCCAGGGAGGCUCCUGAAACUGAGGAGCUCAGAGCGCCAUUCGAAAUCGCACGGCACCAUCCACCCUUGGUCUGGCCCUGCCUCCCUCUCUGGCCCUUGAAGCAGCUGCAGCCGCUGCUGAUCAGGCCCUCCCCCAGUGCAGAUUUGACCAUCUGAUCGAUGUGCUUCUCUGUCUCUGGAUCUGUUUUUGUUCAUCACAACCUUCCCCAAAUCUGGCAGUCCUGCUGUGUCUCAGCUGGGUGAGUAGUGCCACUCCUGUCCAGGGGAACUGAGAACCCAAUUGCUUUUAUGCUCAUGACAUUGACCUCUGUUUUCAGUCACCUCAAUAAAUUAAGACCCAGCACAGAACAAGUGGCACCAGGUUUGAAGUCACAGCUGAGACAGAAGUACCUACUCAUCAUAUUUUCCAAAGGAAGAAAAAUCUUUAUGAACCAAUCUGCACCAAUAUGGCUUAAGAAAAAAUAAUAAGUGAUCAUGGAAAACAAUGAUCAAUUAUGAGUGAGCAACCACUUGCCUUCCUGGAUGAAUCACAACUAAACCAAUUUAUUGAUUUACAAUCACAAAAUAAAAAUAUAUCUUAUUGAAAA